rnacentral:rRNA from 1 species
AUUGAACGCUGGCGGCAGGCCUAACACAUGCAAGUCGAACGGUAACAGGAAGAAGCUUGCUUCUUUGCUGACGAGUGGCGGACGGGUGAGUAAUGUCUGGGAAACUGCCUGAUGGAGGGGGAUAACUACUGGAAACGGUAGCUAAUACCGCAUAACGUCGCAAGACCAAAGAGGGGGACCUUCGGGCCUCUUGCCAUCGGAUGUGCCCAGAUGGGAUUAGCUAGUAGGUGGGGUAACGGCUCACCUAGGCGACGAUCCCUAGCUGGUCUGAGAGGAUGACCAGCCACACUGGAACUGAGACACGGUCCAGACUCCUACGGGAGGCAGCAGUGGGGAAUAUUGCACAAUGGCGCAAGCCUGAUGCAGCCAUGCCGCGUGUAUGAAGAAGGCCUUCGGGUUGUAAAGUACUUUCAGCGGGGAGGAAGGGAGUAAAGUUAAUACCUUUACUCAUUGACGUUACCCGCAGAAGAAGCACCGGCUAACUCCGUG